UACGGAGGGUGCAAGCGUUAUCCGGAUUCACUGGGUUUAAAGGGUGCGUAGGCGGACUUGUAAGUCCGUGGUGAAAUCUCCAGGCUUAACCUGGAAACUGCCAUGGAUACUAUAAGUCUUGAAUGUUGUGGAGGUUAGCGGAAUAUGUCAUGUAGCGGUGAAAUGCAUAGAUAUGACAUAGAACACCAAUUGCGAAGGCAGCUCACUACGCAAUCAUUGACUCUGAGGCACGAAAGCGUGGGGAUCAAACAGG
rnacentral:rRNA from 1 species